rnacentral:lncRNA from 1 species
AAGUAAAAAAAAUAUGAAGUUUUAAAUAAAAUAUAAAAUAAUGAAGUUAAAAUUUCUAAUUUCAAAUUUAAAAUUUAAAAAAUCAAAAUUUAAAUUUUAGUUUUAUCUUCAAUUUAAAAUCUAACAUUUUAAAUUUCAAAUUUAAAUUUUCAAUUAAAAAUUUAAAAUUUAAGAUUUUAAACUUUAGAUGUAAAUUUUAAAAUAUAAAA